GGAAAGUUGCAAAGAACUUUGAAGAGAGAGUUCAAGAGAACGUGAAAUCGCUAAAGUGGAACCGGAGAGAGUUAACAUAACUUGGUAGCUAUAUUCUCUAAAGUCGCUUAAUUGUGGCUCUGGGGGGUGGACGCUACCUGUUGUUGCACUGACUGCGUUGAUUGUGCUUUCCGAACAGUAUAGUGUUGCCCACUUUGUGGUGUCUUGCUUUCUGGGAGGUUUGUCAUAAUUAACGUAAAGCCAAUUCCCUUUGGAGUCAGUGUGAAAGUUAACCACCUUUCCGACCCGUCUUGAAACACGGACCGAGGAGUGUAAUUUAUACGCGAGUCAAGGGGUGGUGAAAACCCUAGGGGCGGAAUGAAAGUAAAGGCCGGUUAACCGGUUGACAUGGGAUCCGCUCUUCAGCGGCGCACCAUGGCCCUGUCUUGUCUGCUUGCAGAUGCGCAGCGGUAGAGCGUAUAGUUUGCGACCGGAAA
rnacentral:rRNA from 1 species